GGGCAGGCCGCAUCCCCGCCAGCGUAGGCUCCUGCAUCCGCGGAUUCCAGCCCGGGCUGGCUUUGCGGGGAGGAGCUCCUGAGCUUCCUAAACGUCCACUGGGACCUUCACGCUCUCAGAAAGUAUCUUCUGCAGCUGUGCGCCAUCCUGGUAAGGGACCCUGGGGCCCGGGAGCUGGCAUCCGGAACGUAGUGCCCGCAGGCAAGGAGAACAGGAAGAGCCGCCAGCUCUGGAGAACGCUGGAAGCCCUUCUGCCAGAGUCUCUGAAGCAGUCUGGAAAAUUCUACAGCCCACUGGGUGAAAACGAGGCAGCGAUGCAGCUCCUGCUCUUCUGGCCUGUGACGAAGACUUGGUGAGGAUGGUGACGGCGAUGGGGGAGGAGGACUGACGCCUGUUGGAAGUUCCAGUUUGCACCUUUCCUUCCCCAUCCAGCCUUGUUUAAUGCUCCAAGGCACUGUCUCCCAUUUACAGAUUUGGAAGC
rnacentral:lncRNA from 1 species